GUAGUCCACGCCCUAAACGAUGUCAACUAGUUGUCGGCGGAGAAAUCCGUUGGUAACGCAGCUAACGCGUGAAGUUGACCGCCUGGGGAGUACGGCCGCAAGGUUAAAACUCAAAGGAAUUGACGGGGACCCGCACAAGCGGUGGAUUAUGUGGAUUAAUUCGAUGCAACGCGAAAAACCUUACCUACCCUUGACAUGUCAGGAAUCCUGCUGAGAGGCGGGAGUGCCCGAAAGGGAGCCUGAACACAGGUGCUGCAUGGCUGUCGUCAGCUCGUGUCGUGAGAUGUUGGGUUAAGUCCCGCAACGAGCGCAACCCUUGUCAUUAAUUGCCAUCAUUUGGUUGGGCACUUUAAUGAGACUGCCGGUGACAAACCGGA
rnacentral:rRNA from 1 species